UCACUCCGGUUUCUCUUCAGCACGCAUAAAUCUUUUGCCUUUUACUAACGAUUUCCAUGGAGAGGAGCAGUGAUGAGUUUACACCCAAUUUUUUGAGGCCCCGUUUUGGCGGAAGU